ensembl:lncRNA CUTALP cutA divalent cation tolerance like, pseudogene
AACAUCUGACAAGGCAUUUCAGCCUGGAGUCAGUCAAAAAAUCUUAGAGGUCUGUAAAGGAGAUGACUAUGCUGUUAGGGCUGUGGUAGAAACCUUUAAUAACAAGUGAAAAGAGCUUGUAUUUGCCAAAAUGAACACAGGAUAUGAUUCUUUUUUUGCUUUUGCUUUGGAGUUGUAUCAGCUCUGUGCGGUCACAUGGGUAUCUACAAAUCAAAGCACCCAUCAACCAGAUGCAUCUCUGAGAGUUAACAGCAGAAGGUGGCAUAAUAAAAGAAGUUCUCGGUAGUGAAAAAGGGCCAUGCUGGAUAAGGAGCUGGCUGCCUCUGUGAACAUCCUACUCAAGGCAUCUUCACUGGAACUAAGAUUCUGUGAAUACACCGUUCCCCUGGGUCUCAAACUAGCUCUAGAGGAGGCCCUCAUGAUACCACCUCAGCAGAGGCUGUACAUCCUUUUGAAAUCCCAGAGAUCUUCAGUCUCCCUGUGGAUUAAGGAGAUGUGCAGUAUUUAAAGUGGCUUCAGGAAGGCAUGGAAGAGGACUGAGUGGGGAAAGCUUUUUGUGCAUGCUGCUGGCUACCUCCAGCGGCUGCCUCCAGCCUCCAUCAGCUGCACUCUGGGGAAGAGGAGGCUGCCUUCUACCUCCCAGCAUCUCUGGAUUUCAUGUUCCUGUCAGCACAGAGGAGCUAAAUGGCCUG